CGCAUCGAGGGCUGGUGGUGCGGCAUAGUAGGUGCCGCGACCUCAACGGACUGACGAAAUGUCCGUUUAGGU
rnacentral:tRNA from 1 species